rnacentral:rRNA from 1 species
UACGUAGGUGGCAAGCGUUGUCCGGAUUUACUGGGCGUAAAGAGCGCGCAGGCGGUCGUUCAAGUCGCGUGUGAAAGCCCCCGGCUCAACUGGGGAGGGUCACGCGAUACUGAUCGACUCGAAGGCAGGAGAGGGUAGUGGAAUUCCCGGUGUAGUGGUGAAAUGCGUAGAUAUCGGGAGGAACACCAGUGGCGAAGGCGACUACCUGGGUCAACACUGACGCUCAUGCACGAAAGCGUGGGGAGCAAACAGG